GCUUCUGUCGUUCAACGGAUAGGACACCGGUUUCCGGAACCGGCAAUAUCAGUUCAAUUCUGAUCAGAAGCACCA
rnacentral:tRNA from 1 species